rnacentral:tRNA from 1 species
AAAGUUAUAGUCUAAUUUAUGAUUUAUGAUUUGCACUCAUAAGAUGUUUAUAUAAACUAACUUUG